UCCAGGCCAGGAACAGAGCAGGGUUGGAGCAGAGAGCUGUGCUCACGGCCAGUGCAUUGUCUCCCAGAUUCGUGGCUCUGGGCUUGCCUUCCCGGCUGAAAGGCAAAGCAGCCUGGCCCUGUUCUAGUUAUUUCUUUGUGUGUAUAUGUUUGUUUGUUUAUUUAAGCAAGAGCUCUCUCUGCAGAGUGGGGUGUGUGUGUGUGUGUGUGUGUGUGUGUGUGUGUGUGUUUGUGUGGGGUGCUUCAGAGAGGGCUGAAAUUGUACCUCUUUUCUUUCAGCCCUCUGCAUUUCCCCAGAGAGAAGGUUUUUUUCUCGUCUUCAUUUCCUUUGAAACACCUGGGGUGAGGAAAAACCUCUACAUUGGCCAAGCAGAAGAAACAGAAUCUAUGACAGAAGAGGAUCGGCUAAGAGUGGUUCCUCGCAGCUUAAAGGGAGGCACUUUUCACACUCUGUCUUAAAAUCAGAAGUUGAAUUCAUGAACACAUAUGAUUUAGAUAGAAGUCAUGGGAUGCAGCAGUUCUUCAACGAAAACCAGGAGAUCUGACACAUCACUGAGAGCUGCGUUGAUCAUCCAGAACUGGUACCGAGGUUACAAAGCUCGACUGAAGGCCAGACAACACUAUGCCCUCACCAUCUUCCAGUCCAUCGAAUAUGCUGAUGAACAAGGCCAAAUGCAGUUAUCCACCUUCUUUUCCUUCAUGUUGGAAAACUACACACAUAUACAUAAGGAAGAGCUAGAAUUAAGAAAUCAAUCUCUUGAAAGCGAACAGGACAUGAGGGAUAGAUGGGAUUAUGUGGACUCGAUAGAUGUCCCAGACUCCUAUAAUGGUCCUCGGCUACAAUUUCCUCUCACUUGUACGGAUAUUGAUUUACUUCUUGAGGCCUUUAAGGAACAACAG
rnacentral:sRNA from 1 species